AUGGAGACCAACAUCGAGUACAUUUUUAGAUCUUUUUGGUUAGUAAAUUCUGGGAAAUUCAAAAGGAGCUUUCAAGUGGAAGGAGUGAAGGCCAGCCCAAUGGUGAAACAAAUACACCUAUUGAAGGAAACCAGGCAGGUGAUGCAGCUGCCUCUGCCAGGAGUCUAUCAAAUGAAGAAAUAGUUCAGAAGAUAGAGAAAGUACUUUCUGGGGCCUUAGAUACAGAACUACGAUAUCAACCAGACUUUAAGGAGGCCCCCAGAAAAUGUAGAUGUGUAUCUGUACAAACAGAUCUUGCUGAUGAAAUUCCCACCAAAAGUCAAGCAUAAAAUGUACAAAAAUAAAAAGGAUGAAGAAAAGGAAAUAAAGUAUAAAAGACAGCCAGAAGAAUCUGAAUCAGAGCCGAAAUCACAUCAUGGUGGGAACGUGGAUUUAGAAUUGGAUUCCUUUUUGAAGUUUGAUUCUGAACCUUCAGCUAUGGCUCUGGAGCAUCCUGUAAGAGCGUUUGGCCUGUCUGAGACCAGUGAAUCUCCUGCAGUUGUGCAAGAACCUCCUACAGUAUCAGUGGAGGAAUCACAGCCACACCCUUUAGGAACUGCAGAGCUGUCAGUUGCAUCAGCAUCAGUCAUCUCAGUUCAGUCAGAGCAGUCUGUGGCAGUAACACUGGAACCAUCCAUGACCAAAUCCCUGGAUUCUUUUGCAACAGCACCAGUGCCUACUACAACAGCAGCGCUAACGUCAUCUGAACCAGCUGUACCAAUGUCAGUGGCAUAUCAGAUGAAGUCUGUGCUGAAAUCUUCAUAGAGCACACCUCCAGAGCCAUCAAAGAUCAUGCUAGAGCCUCCAGUAGCAGAAGUGCUGGAGCCAUCAGAAACCUUUGCGGUAUCAUCAGAGACACCUACUGAGCCAAGCACAUCAACAACAAUUUUCCAGAGUCUGCAACUGCAGUACUAAGGUCGCCAGAGCAGCCUGUAGAAGUACCAUCGGAGGUUGCAGAUUCAUCCAUGACAAGGUCACAGGAGUUGCUGGAGCUGCCCAAGACCACAGCAUUGGAGCUGCUCGAGUCGUCGGUGACCUCAGCGAUGUCGGUGACCUCAGCGAUGCAGUUGCCGGGGCCACCUGCGACCUCCAUGCUAGAGUUGCAGGACCCCUGUGACUCCAGUGCUGGAGUUACCUGGGCCCUCUGCUACCCUGCUGCCAGAGUUACUACGGCCCAUUUCUACCCCAGUGCCAGAGUUGCAGGGCCCCCUGUGACAUCAGUGCCACAGUUUUCACAGGAAUUACCAAGGCUUCCAGCACCUCCAGGGGGUAGGAGCCACCACAGGAGGUACCAGAGCUACCUGUUAUGGCACAGGAGUUGCCAGGGCUGCCUGUGGUGACAGCAGCAGUAGAGUCGCAGGGGCAGCCUGCUGUAACAGUAGCAAUGAAGUUGACCGAGCAACCUGUGACAGAUGUUGGAGCAACCUGUGGAGAUGACAAUGGUGGAACUUCCCGGGCAGCCUGAGGUGACAACAUCAACAGGGUUGCUGGGGCAGCCUGAGGCAACAAUGGUGCUGGAGUUGCCAGGGCAGCCUUUGGUUAGUGGAGCACUGGAGUUCUCGGGGCCGUCUGGAGCAGCUGGAGCACUGGCACUUUGGGGGCAGCCUCUGGCAACAGGGGUACUGGAGUUGCCUGGGCAACCUGUGGCAGUUGUGGUGCUGGAGAUCUCUAUUCAGUGUGUGGUGACAACGGAGCUGUCAACGAUGACCGUGUUUUAGUCCCUGGAGGUGCUCUUGAUGACAGUGCUGGAAUACUAUACCACACCUAGACCCUUGAUGUUAGCAUCUAGCUGGUCUAUGAUGAUGUGCUAUGCUGCAGAACAUUCCAUGAUGUCAUCUUAUGAACACUCUAUGAUGUCUUAUGAGUAGUCUAUGACGCCCCUUAUGGCUGAGCGCUAUAUGAUGUUAUCUUAUGAACACUCUAUGAUGUCAGCUUACGAGUGCUCCAUGAUGUCCAUGGGUGCCAACCAGUCUAUGAUGUCAUCAUACUCUGCUGCUGACCCUUCUAUGAUGUCAUCUUAUACUGCCGAUCAUUCAAUGAUGUCUAUGGCAGCUGAUUCUUACAUCGAUUCUUAUACUGAUACAUACACAGAGGCAUAUAUGGUGCCAUGUUUGGUUCCUGAAGAGCCUCCAACAAUGCCGCCAUUUCCACCUGAGGAGCCACCAAUGACACCACCAUUGUGUCCUAAGGAACCACUGGAGGGUCCAGCAUUAUCCACUGAGCAGUCAGCAUUAACAGCUGAAAAUGUCUGGCCUACUGAGGAACCAGCAUUACCUCCUGAAGAGUCUGGACCACUGCCUGAACCGCCUGUGAAUUAAAGUGAGAUUUCAUAGCCUUCCGUAGUAGUGACUAAUUAUUCAGUGUCAACAUCAGAGCCUUGAGUGUUAGCAUCAGAGGCUGUUGUGACUGUUCCUGAGCCACCACUAGAGCCAGUCUUCAGUUACAGCUACACCUGUCACGGAAGUUGCUGCCGUCAGUAUACAGAGUAA